AUUGAACGCUGGCGGCAUGCCUUACACAUGCAAGUCGAACGGUAACGCGGGGCAACCUGGCGACGAGUGGCGAACGGGUGAGUAAUGCAUCGGAACGUGCCCAGUAGUGGGGGAUAGCCCGGCGAAAGCCGGAUUAAUACCGCAUACGACCUACGGGUGAAAGGGGGGGAUCGCAAGACCUCUCGCUAUUGGAGCGGCCGAUGUCAGAUCAGGUAGUUGGUGGGGUAAAGGCCUACCAAGCCGACGAUCUGUAGCUGGUCUGAGAGGACGACCAGCCACACUGGGACUGAGACACGGCCCAGACUCCUACGGGAGGCAGCAGUGGGGAAUUUUGGACAAUGGGCGCAAGCCUGAUCCAGCCACGCCGCGUGCGGGAAGAAGGCCUUCGGGUUGUAAACCGCUUUUGUCAGGGAAGAAAUCUUCUGAGUUAAUACCUCGGGAGGAUGACGGUACCUGAAGAAUAAGCACCGGCUAACUACGUGCCAGCCGCCGCCGUAACAC
rnacentral:rRNA from 1 species